rnacentral:rRNA from 1 species
GACGAACGCUGGCGGCGUGCCUAAUACAUGCAAGUAGAACGCUGAAGAGAGGAGCUUACUCUUCUUGGAUGAGUUGCGCACGGGUGAGUAACGCGUAGGUAACCUGCCUUGUAGCGGGGGAUAACUAUUGGAAACGAUAGCUAAUACCGCAUAACAAUGGAUGACACAUGUCAUUUAUUUGAAAGGGGCAAUUGCUCCACUACAAGAUGGACCUGCGUUGUCUUAGCUAGUAGGUGAGGUAAUGGCUCACCUAGGCGACGAUACAUAGCCGACCUGAGAGGGUGAGCGGCCACACUGGGACUGAGACACGGCACAGACUCCUACGGGAGGCAGCAGUAGGGAAUCUUCGGCAAGGGGGGCAACCCUGACCGAGAAACGCCGCGUGAGGGAAGAAGGGUGUCGGAUCGGAAAGCUCGGUUGUAAGUCAAGAACGGGUGUGAGAGUGGAAAGUUCACACUGUGACGGUAGCUUACCAGAAAGGGACGGCUAACUACGUG